rnacentral:rRNA from 1 species
ACGUAGGGGGCGAGCGUUGUUCGGAAUUACUGGGCGUAAAGGGCGCGUAGGCGGCCUCUUAAGUCGAACGUGAAAUCCCCGGGCUCAACCCGGGAACUGCGUCCGAUACUGGGAGGCUUGAAUCCGGGAGAGGGAAGUGGAAUUCCCGGUGUAGAGGUGAAAUUCGUAGAUAUUCGGAGGAACACCAGUGGCGAAGGCGGCUCACUGGCUCGAUACUGACGCUGAGGUGCGAAAGCGUGGGGAGCAAACA